UGGUGGGUGACCGACUGAGGAUAGAUCGAAAUCUGAUGAAGGAUCGAUAGAGGAUGGUGGCUGUCUGAUGGUAUUGACAACUAAGAUGUCGAUUGUCUGUAGCAGAGAUCUAUAACCAAUGAUGGGUCGGUAAGAUCCGAUGAUGGAUUGGCAAUGGCUUGAUGCUGUGUUAGUGAUAGGGCGUUGGCAGACAAUGAAAAGAAUUGACAACCAAUGGUGGGUCG
rnacentral:lncRNA from 1 species